rnacentral:rRNA from 1 species
GCCUUCUGGACUGACACUGACGCUGAGGUGCGAAACGCUGUGGGUACGCUAAACAGGAUUAGAUACCCUGGUAGUCCACGCCGUAAACGAUGUCGACUAGCCGUUGGGCUCCUUGAGAGCUUUGUGGCGCAGUUAACGCGAUAAGUCGACCGCCUGGGGAGUACGGCCGCAAGGUUAAAACUCAAAUGAAUUGACGGGGGCCCGCACAAGCGGUGGAGCAUGUGGUUUAAUUCGAUGCAACGCGAAGAACCUUACCUACCCUUGACAUCGUGCGAACUUGGCAGAGAUGCCUUGGUGCCUUCGGGAACGCACAGACAGGUGCUGCAUGGCUGUCGUCAGCUCGUGUUGUGAAAUGUUGGGUUAAGUCCCGUAACGAGCGCAACCCUUGUCCUUAUUUGCCAGCGAGUCAUGUCGGGAACUCUAAGGAGACUGCCGGUGACAAACCGGAGGAAGGUGGGGACGACGUCAAGUCAUCAUGGCCCUUACGGGUAGGGCUACACACGUGCUACAAUGGGCCGGUACAAAGGGUUGCGAAGCCGCGAGGUGGAGCUAAUCCCGAAAAGCUGGUCUCAGUCCGGAUCGGAGUCUGCAACUCGACUCCGUGAAGUCGGAAUCGCUAGUAAUCGUGAAUCAGGAUGUCACGGUGAAUACGUUCCCGGG